rnacentral:lncRNA from 10 species
UCCAGCCUUCUACUUUGGGGAGGUAGGCUCACAGGAUGUUUAGCAGCAUCUCCAGCCUCAACCCACUCGAUGCCAGUAGUAUCCAGUUGUGACAGCUAAAAAUGUCUCCAGAUAUUGCCAACAGUUGUCCCAGGAUGAGAACCACUGCUGCAAAGGUCACACGAUGUGGUUGGGCAGGGUGAGUAUGGGACCUUGAGCUGGGGUAAGACCUGAGGGGCAGAGUUGUGAGAGUUAUGGGGAACGUUUCCAAUUUCUUCUAUGGAGAAAUGGGAAGAGAUGGUGGAUGAAGGAA